GGGGAUAUGGCACAGUGGAACAACACCCACCUGGCAAGUGUGAGGCCCUGAGUUUGAUUCUCAGUCCCCCCA
rnacentral:tRNA from 1 species